rnacentral:rRNA from 1 species
GUUGAACGCUGGCGGCAGGCCUAACACAUGCAAGUCGAGCGGACGGAGGGAGCUUGCUCCUGGAUUCCGCGGGGGACGGGCGAGUAAUGCCUAGGAGUCUGACUGGUAGAGGGGGAUGACGUCAGGAAAGGGGAGCUAAUACCGCACACGUCAUGAGGGAGAAAGUGGGGGAUCUUAGGACCUCACGCUAUCAGAUGAGACUAGGUCGGAUUAGCUAGUUGGUGGGGUAAAGGCGUACCAAGGCGACGAUCCGUAACUGGUCUGAGAGGAUGAUCAGUCACACUGGAACUGAGACACGGUCCAGACUCCUACGGGAGGCAGCAGUGGGGAAUAUUGGACAAUGGGCGAAAGCCUGAUCCAGCCAUGCCGCGUGUGCGAAGAAGGUCUUCGGAUUGUAAAGCACUUUUAGUUGGGAGGAAGGGCAGUAAGUUAAUACCUUGCUGUUUUGACGUUACCUACAGAAUAAGCACCGGCUAACUUCGUG